rnacentral:snRNA from 1 species
AGCUUUGCACAGUGGCAGAGGUUUAUCUGGGGCGUGAUUAUUGCUAAUUGAAAACUUUUCCUAAUACCCCGCCAUGAUGACUUGAAAUAUAGUUGGCAUUGGCAAUUUUUGACAGUCUCUAUUAAAA